CAUUAAAAAUUAAAAAUUCGAAUUCUCUGCUUUAAUCGGAAUUUUUAAUGGAAAUCUAUGACGAUAAAUAACAUGACAUAUCAAUGCUUCAAAGAUUGUAGAUGUUUAUAACAGGGCUAAGCUGCUACUCUGGUCGUCCUUUUAUCAAGGGCGCCACUGGAAGUGAUAACGGCUUCUCAGAGCCGGAUCUUAGAUGAUAAAAAAAAAUUUUAAGUCGAUUUUAUCAAUUGUUUGCUAGGCUGUUAAUUGCAUGAUAAUCUAUUUUUUGAGUCUACUGUAAUAUCUCUUGUGAAAUAAAAAGAGUGGGAACUAUAUAGAAGUAAUUAAUUUAAUUGACAGUGAUUGUUUUUAUAAUUUCUAUAUAAAAUACUUAUUGUGCAUUUAUAUAUUUUAAAUGUGUAAUUGUGUCGAUUUUAAUGUUAAAAAAUGAAUGUUGAAAUUUCAGACCAACUGGAGAAUUUUUUUUUUAAUUUAUGGCAGAAAAUUUAUCCAUAGGAAUUGGGUUUAAUCCAGUGAAUAUUAAUUUUUUUUCAGAUUUCUCCCUGGAUUAUCUUAGGAUAUUAAUUAAAAUUCGUGCAAUAAUAAUUAACACAUGAUAAUCACUAGAAAAUUAAAGAAUUACAUUCCAGGAAAAUGUAACUUUGAUAACAAUAGAGGAUAAUAUUGAAACAAAUAAGUCGUUAACUUAAUGCAUGAUAAUUUUUAUCAAAAUAUACGUAAUUGGAAAUCCCCAGCCGAUUGAUUCCUUUGUGUUUUAUGUUUGUUAAUUAGUGUAAAUAUCUACUUUCGGCUUCAGUUAUUAGUCUAAGUGUACAUCGAAAGGCAUAAUGAUGAAGUUAUAUCUUUUCUUUUUGCUAGUAGCAACGCUGGUGAUAAGUUGUCAAUGUAAUCCGCGGAAAAUUGAAGCCACUACUCCACAAAUUCCGUCACUAGUUGAAACCUCGGCAAUCACUCGAAAAAAUUGGUUAUUAUGCACAGAAUGGUCUAUUUCGACCUCGCAACUACCAAGUGGUCAAUUCAACAUCUGGAUCAACUGCCGCUAGAGAGUUAUAGCAUUCAUCUUCAAACUCUGAUCAAAAUUCUUCAUAUAUAAUAUCAUUUCAUCUUAUGAUGUCUAUAGACUUAAAAAUUUAAACGAUCAUUGCAAACAUUCUUUUAACAAUGCCCACCUACGCAAUCAUUGCAUAGCAAAAACAACGUCAAACUUACCAAACCUAAUAUAUUUGCUAAGUAUUUGAAAAAUUGAUAUCUUUCCGUCAAUUUUAUUUUCAAUUAACUCGUUCAUUGAUAAAAAAAUUUCUUAAAUUAUUUCAAUUCCAAAUAUUGAAACCUAUUGUACACGGAAAGAAAUAGGUGUUGCAACAGCACAUAAUCCUGUUGCAGCAACAUAAUUCUUAUGUUAUAACAACAAGACACAUCUCCUUGCUCUCACAGGUUGUGUCCUGUUGCUGUAACAUGAAAAUCCUGCUGCUCUGACAGGAUUUGUUCUAUCGCUGUGAAAUGAAAAUCCUGUUGCUGUAACAGGAUUUUGUCCUGUUGCUCCCACAGGACUGCGUCUUAUUGCAGCACCUACUUUUUUCCGUGUACAUAUUAUCUCCUCUAGCCUUGAUACCCAUGAGAAUUCAUAUACAGUAUAUAUAUUACAUAUAUUUGGCGACGAUACUUUAGAGUUAGAUUGCAAUGAUCACUGCUUAAGUCGCCAAAUACCAAAGAGUGAAACGUCGUAAGGGACAAUGAGAAGAGGAGAGAUGGAAAAAUGUAUUUGAUAGGUGAGAGGCGUUUCGUCAAAGUAUACAAUAGCUGAGACUCCUCAGUUAAGUGCGUACAUCGUAUACCUCACCUAAGACGCCGUGUUGGAAGUUAUAUGUUGAAAAAUGUUAUAUAUUGAAACAGGCAUAGAGACGAGGUACUGUGAGAGGUGCAAAUGUAUUUGAUAUACCCACAAGUUUUACUUAUCUAGAAUAUUUCAAAAGUUGUACUAAACUCCGAGAAUAAUCAUUCAUCAAAAUAAAUCUGUGGCUUAGGCCCAGAUUGAAGGAAUGUUGACAUCUAUUCAUCAAAAUUCAAUGUUCUAGAUCGAUUAUGAUUUUAAACAAUCUUAAGGUCAUUACUUUGAUUAUAAGCAGAAUAUCAUUAAAAUUAUCAAAUAAAAUAAAAAAAUCUGGGCGUCGGUUGACCCUGCGGGCCAGCCCCAAAACUUCCCGCUGUUUUCGACCUCAAAGAGCUCGAAAACAUUAGUGUAGAUAUAUUUUCGAGCUCUUCAAACUCGAAAAUGCUAUCACAUGCAAUUGUUUUUUUACGAUCUUUUCAAGCUCUAACAAGUUACCUGUUAUGCUGAAGUUUGAAAAUUUAAGAAUCGAAAAUCAUCAAUGAAGCGGUUUUUAAAAUUUAGUUCCUGAUUAUGUUCAGUAAAAUAAGUGUAUUGAGGCAGAAAUCAAUGUCGGGGAUCAAAAUCAAGAUUCAAAUAAGUUUUGACUCAUGUAAAAAACAAUAAAAUAUGAAAUAUCCGACAGAAAUAUUAAAAACUAUGUUUUAUCGA